rnacentral:rRNA from 1 species
UACGAAGGGGGCUAGCGUUGUUCGGAAUCACUGGGCGUAAAGCGCACGUAGGCGGAUUGUUAAGUCGGGGGUGAAAUCCUGAGGCUCAACCCCAGAACUGCCUUCGAUACUGGCAAUCUCGAGUCCGGAAGAGGUUGGUGGAACAGCUAGUGUAGAGGUGAAAUUCGUAGAUAUUAGCUAGAACACCAGUGGCGAAGGCGGCCAACUGGUCCGGUACUGACGCUGAGGUGCGAAAGCGUGGGGAGCAAACAGG